rnacentral:rRNA from 1 species
CCCUUAGAUGUUCUGGGCCGCACGCGCGCUACACUGAUGCAUUCAACGAGUCUAAAACCUGCUCUGAUAGGGGUGGGUAAUCUUUUGAAUGUGCAUCGUGAUUGGGAUAGAUGAUUGCAAUUUUUCAUCUUCAACGAGUAAUGCCUAAUAAACGCAAGUCAUCAGCUUGCAUUGAUUACGUCCCUGCCCUUUGUACACACCGCCCGUCGCUCCUACCGAUUGAAUGAUCCGAUGAAUAUCAUGGAUUGAGGAUGCAAGUAGGUUCGCCUAUCUUCAUCUUCGAGAAGUGAAGUAAAUCUUAUCAUUUAGAGGAAGGAGAAGUCGUAACA